rnacentral:rRNA from 1 species
AGGUUGAUCCUGGCUCAGGAUGAACAACUAGCGCCACGCUUAACACAUACACGUCAAGGGGCACCAUUGAUUGUGCUUGCACGAUGUGUGGGCCACCCGCGCACAGGUGCGUAAACCUUAUGCAAACUACCUCCACCUCGGGGAUAACACUCGACAAAUUGGUACUAAUUCCCCAUAAUACUUUGAAAAGCAUCUUUUCGUGUCGUAAGUUCCGUCGGUUAGCAGAUGGGCAUGUGUUGUAUUAGUUAGAUGGUGUGGUAAAGGCUCGCCAUGGCGACGAUACAUAGGGGGAUUGAGAGGUUAUCCCCCCACAUUGGUAUUGAGACACGGCCCAAACUCUUACGGGAGGCAGCAGUGAGGAAUAUUGGUCACUGGACGCAAGUCUGAACCAGCCAUGCAAGUGUGCAGGCAUGACGGCUCGUAUGAGUUGAUAAAAGUGUCUUUUGUAUUAGGGUAAUCUUUAGUACGCGUAGUAGAGGUGAAAGUAUAAUAUGAAUAAGGAUCGGCUAACUCCGUGCCCGCAGCCGGGGUAAUACGGAGGAUCCAAGCGUUAUUCCGGAUUUAUUGGGUUUAAAGGGUGCGUAGGCGGUUUAUAUAAGUUAGAGGUGAAAUUUCGGUGCUCAACACCGACACUGCCUCUAAUACUGUAGGAUUAGAGAGUAGUUGGGGUAGGCGGAAUUUGUAGUGUAGCGGUGAAAUGCUGUAGAGAUUACGCAAGAACACCGAUGGCGAAAGCAGCUUACCAAGCUAUAUCUGACGUUGAGGCACGAAAGCGUGGGGAGCAAACAGGAUUAGAUACCCUGGUAGUCCACGCAGUAAACGAUGAUAGCUAGUUGUCAUCGAUACAAUGUCGGUGACUACGAGAAAUCGAUAAGCUAUCCACCUGGGGAGUACGUUCCCAAGAAGGAUACUCAAAGGAAUUGACGGGGGCCCGCACAAGCGGUGGUACAUGGGGUCUAAUUCUUAGCAACGCGAAGAACCUUACCAAGUCUUUACAUCGUUCUGACUGGAACUUAACGGUUCCUUUCCUUAGAGACAGAUGCGACAGGCGGUGCAUGGUUGUCGUCAGUUCGGGUGGAGUGAGGUUGGGUUAAGUCCCGCAACGAGCGCAACCCCCAUCUCUAGUAGCCAGCGGAUAGUCGGGGCACUAUAGCGUGACCCCCCGGGAUAUCCUGGAGGAAGGGGGGGAAGCCGUCAAAUCAUCA